AGAGUUUGAUCCUGGCUCAGGAUUAACGUUGGUAGUAUGCCUAACACAUGCAAGUCGAGCGGAGAGUAGUAGCAAUACUGCUUUUAGCGGCGAACGGGUGAGUAAUGCUUAUCUUACUUGCCAAUUAGUGGGGGAUAACCACGGGAAACCGUGGCUAAUACCGCAUUUGUUACUUCGGUAAUAAAAGGAAGUCGUAAGAUUUUCGCUAAUUGAGAGGGAUAAGUCGUAUUAGUUAGUUGGUAGGGUAAUGGCCUACCAAGACAAUGAUGCGUAGCCGGCCUGAGAGGGUGAACGGCCACAAGGGAACUGAGACACGGUCCCUACUCCUACGGGAGGCAGAAGUGGGGAAUUUAUGGCAAUGGACGAAAGUCUGACCAAGCAAUACUACGUGAAGGAGGAAGGUCUAUGGAUUGUAAACUUCUUUACUAGAGGGUACUGCCGCAAGGUUUGCCCUUUAGCAAAAAGUCACGACUAACUAUGUGCCAGCAGUCGCGGUAAGACAUAGGUGGCGAACGUUAUCCGGAAUUAUUGGGCGUAAAGGGUGCGUAGAUGGUUUGAAAAGUUAGCGGUGGGAAAUCGAGGCUCAACCUCGUGGAAGUCGUUAAUACUAUCAGACUAGAGUGCAGGAGAGGUUAACGGAACUCAAUGUGGAGCGGCAAAAUGCGUAGAUAUAUUGAAGAACACCAAUAACGGCGAAGGCAGUUAACUAUUCUGUUACUGACGUUGAGGCACGAAAGCGUGGGGAGCAAAAAGGAUUAGAUACCCUUGUAGUCCACGCCCUAAACGAUGAGUGCUAGGUAUUGGAAACUUGAUUUUCAGUGUCGCUAGGUAACCCGGUAAGCACUCCGCCUGGGUAGUACGCUCGCAAGAGUGAAACUCAAAGGAAUUGACGGGGACUCACACAAGCAGUGGAGCAUGUGGUUUAAUCCGAUACAACGCGUAGAACCUUACCAAGGCUUGACAUGUAAGGUAGCAAUACUAAACUAGGGAAACCUAGUUGAAUUACACAGGUGCUGCAUGGCCGUCGUCAGUUCGUGCCGUGAGGUGUAUGGUUAAGUCCUAUAACGAACGCAACCCUUGUACUUAGUUACCAGCAUUUAGUUGGGGACUCUAAGUAGACUGCAAGGUGUGCUUAGCAUGCCUGAACUGAGUAAUCAGGAGGAAGGAUAGGAUGACGUCUGGUCGUCAUGGCCCUUAUGCCUUGGGCGACACACGUGCUA
rnacentral:rRNA from 1 species